rnacentral:tRNA from 1 species
GUUUCUGUAGUGUAGUGGUUAUCACAUCCGCCUGACACGCGGAAGGUCCCUGGUUCGAAACCAGGCAGAAACA